AUGACCAGGGAAACCAAGUCGACCGAGGAUUCCGGUCUUUCCAUGCGAUCCCUGUGUACGGUGCACCUGCUAGUCUUGUUACCCGAGCACGGCAGUGCACGUUUGCUCUAUGAAGGCCUCAGGAUCUCAUGUAGCCUUGACAUGGGAAAACUGUCUGCAUAACCUAAACAAUAUUAGAUAAAUGAACAUAAACAGUGAUAGCCUGAAG